AGAACCACCCUUUAUGUGAGAACUAGCAUUUAUAUGAGAAUCAAUACCAACCGUUAGAUUUUAUGAAAUUCAACCGCUAAGAUCUCCACUCUCACGUUCUCUUUCCUCUCCUUUCUCUCUCCUCCUCUCCAUUUUCUCACGCAUCUCUCCUCUCCAUUGUCUUUGAAGCUUCAGAAGCGGCUCACCGCCGAUAUUCUCAAGUGUGGUCGUGGUAAGGUUUGGCUUGAUCCUAAUGAAGGCAAUGAAAUCUCCAUGGCUAAUUCUCGUCAAAAUAUCAAAAAGUUGGUUAAGGAUGGUUUCAUUAUUAGGAAGCCUGCCAAGAUUCAUUCAAGGUCUCGUGCUCGUCGUAUGAUGAAGGCGAAGAGGAAGGGUCGUCACUCAGGAUACGAGUCAUCAGCCAUUGUGUCAUGGGCUUUCAAGAAAGAGUUGUGGAGCAUGGUGAUGUGAAGCAAGAUGAUCAAUCAAGGGCUCUCAGCCUGCAUGCAUUUUCUGAUUUGUCAUGCGUUUCACCCGUUGUAUUUCUUUUUUUAUUAAAAGAAUCUUAUAUCUAUGGUAGUACUUCUGUGUUGCACAAUAUUAUUAGGUGGUAGUUAAUCACGAUUAUUUCUCAUGUUCUUUACUCUUCUUUAAAUAUUUUUUGUGAACUAACUAUUGUCUUGCGGACUCUUGCCUUUUCCUGUUCUAUUGAGUUACUUCAAAUACUUUAAUCUGUAUCAUACAGGUAGGCGGCAAGUUCAUUUGUCUCUUGCUCUAAAGUUAUAGGCAUCUGAAAUUCUGGUUGUAAUAAAUGCUGAUUUAUGUUUUUUUUUAUUUUCCUGGAGCAUUCGGUAUAGUGCAUAGUCAUUAGUCAUGCA